UGAGAAUUUUGCCUACCUAUUCCCUGGGGAGCUGAAGGUUCUGGCUAUCCUGCUAUCCUGUGAUCCUAAUAUAUCCUGGUGUCUGGUGUAAGAUCCUAUCAAAUCAGCCUCCACAUUUAUCAUCUACCUGUGUUCCUGUGUUCCUGUGUACUGAGUGUUUCCUGACUCCUGAGAAGAGGACUGCCAUCAACUCAGAAAACAAAGAAAAAUUAGUGUCCUCACUAGAACAAUUUAGGAAAGACUGAAUGAUGUAAGAAGAGAAAGCUAUUUGAAAAGAAGUAACUACAGCAUCCUCUCUGUAUUUUUUCCUAAUAAAUUCUAAAACAUGUACCA
rnacentral:lncRNA from 1 species